rnacentral:rRNA from 1 species
GUGGGGAAUAUUGGGCAAUGGGGGAAACCCUGACCCAGCGACGCCGCGUGAGGGAAGAAGGCCUUAGGGUCGUAAACCUCUGUUGUGUGGGAAGAAGAGCGUGACGGUACCACACGAGGAAGUCCCGGCUAACUACGUGCCAGCAGCCGCGGUAAUACGUAGGGGACGAGCGUUGUCCGGAUUUACUGGGCGUAAAGGGCGCGUAGGCGUUCAUUUAAGUCAGCUGUGAAAUGGUUUGGCUUAACCGGAUCAUGCGGUUGAAACUGGAUGACUGGAGUGCUGGAGAGGCAAGUGGAAUUCCCAGUGUAGCGGUGAAAUGCGUAGAUAUUGGGAAGAACACCGGUGGCGAAGGCGACUUGCUGGCCAGCAACUGACGCUGAGGCGCGAAAGCCAGGGGAGCAAACGGGAUUAGAAACCCGGGUAGUCC